AUCUCCAUAAAUGCUAAUUUAAAGGUGCUAUCGAUAACAUUUAGCCACUAGAUGUCGUACUCUUCCUCCACCGUUCCAUUACGUUCACUUCACAACAAGUGGUUGCCAGUUUGUUGCACAUCCCGCAUAUUUUAUGGUCGAGUGGAGUGAGACUCACACCUGUGAUACCAACUUUGUUAUACUAUUGUCUCACAAGCCUGUUUGAAGUCGGAAACAAACGUCAGAUAUAUGAAAUCAAUUUAGAAAAUGAUUAAUUCACAAUCAUAAUAUAUAUAUAUAUUUUUUUUUUCGGGAAAAACGAUAAUUCUAUUCGGCACCUUUCUAAAAGCUCCAUGGAUGUAUUCUUUUUUUGAAAUUAUUCGUCUACAUAAAAAGUUUAUCAACAAUACCUUUAACUAAAUUAUAUAAAUCAUACAGCAGUGGUUCCCAACCUAGGGGUUGGGCCCCUCCCAAGGGUCACAAGAUAAA